GACGAACGCUGGCGGCAUGCCUAACACAUGCAAGUCGAACGAAACCUUCGGGCCUUUUGGCGCACGUGUGCGUGAGACGUGGGAAGCUGCCCGUAGGUUCCGAAUACCUCCCCGAAAGGGGUCCUAAUACCAGUUAAUGUCUUCGCACCAAGGAUUUAUCGCCUUUGGGUGGGCCCGCGUGGGAUUAGCUAGUUGGUAGGGUAAAAGCAUACCAAGGCGACGAUCCAUAGCUGGUCUGAGAGGAUGCCCAGCUAGACUGGGACUGAGACACGGCCCAGACUCGGACGGGAGGGAGCAGUGGGGAAUAUUGGAGACUGGGCGCAAGCGUGAUCCAGCAAUGCCGGGUAAGUGAUGCAGGCCGUAGGGAUGUAAAGCUCUUUUACCCGGGAUGAUAAUGACAGUACCGGGAGAAUAAGCACCGGCUAACUCCGUG
rnacentral:rRNA from 1 species